rnacentral:lncRNA from 1 species
CGGAAGAGAUUAGAAACCGACUGACUGUGGAACGGCUGCGCGGGAGACGUCAGCGGAGGGCGUCGGAAAAUUUGGAAGCGUUUCUUUUAACUGGACUGUCGCAAGCCUUCAGAUCGCGGCGUCAGGUCAGUAAUUGUGGGAGAAACCGGAGAAAAAGAGGACCGGGUAUGCGCGACUGCGGUAGUAACGUUUACAUAUGAGGCAGGGACUGCUUGGAGAAUUUGCCGCAGAGGAAGGAGAGCUGGAUUCGUGGUGAGGCGGGCGAUAAUUGCAGAAUGUGGACUUCAGCGAGGAGUUGAAUCUUGAGAGGGCUGGCCGGUGAUGAGUGCUGCUGGUAGGAAGGCAGGGGAUGGAGGCGCUGGAAUGAGAAGCAGGAAAAACGGGCUGAUCGAGGAGUGCAGGGGAAUCCUCUGUGCUGCCGAAGGAGUCCAAUGUGAGGAGAGGUAGCUCAAUUGGGCUCACUGAACCUGCUCAAGCAAUGUCUUUCAUGAGAUUCUUGGAUCCUGGAUCCUCUUACUCAUUUGCAAUAUCUGAGACGUGCUGAAAAAUCUAAUGUCUUUGAAAAGGUUCUUAUGGUAAUGUGUAACAGUCACAAAUAUGAAAUAAAG